ACUUUUAUUGGACAGCAGCCGUCCGAUGGUCUUAGGA
rnacentral:tRNA from 1 species